rnacentral:lncRNA from 1 species
CUCCCUCUCGCCCCACCUCUGUGUGAGCGACCCAGUGAAAGAUGAGCCCUUGAGGCACAUUCCCUAGUAGAUUUAAAUGACAAAUCUAGAAAGAAGCGGUUUAAAUAUUUAUGAAGAGGCGGAGAGGUGUAGAGUGUCUUCCGGAAACGCUUCUGAUUGGCUGGUGUUUUCAAGCAAGUGUUAGCUUUAUGAAAUGAGUGAGUACCCCCAGAUCAAUUCAAUGAUUAUGUUUCGUGCUUCGGUUUUUCUUCUUCCAAAAGCGCCACACCAUAUACAUCUAUUUAUUUUCUCAGUAAUUGGUUGCAUGUGUGGUCCGAGGGGCUCACUUUUGUCACAUUUUCACUCUCAAUAUAUUUUGUUUUUUGUAAAUCAUGUCUUAUUUUCAUCAAUUUUAAAAUGCAAAGAUCUGGGACAGAUGGAAACAAUUAGAACCUCCGCUCUGCUGAUGUGUAUAAUCUUAUUAGUUUAAUGGGUCACAGGGUGCAGGACCUAUUUCCUAUAGAUCAAAGUGAAAACAAACACGGUUAAUAUCCCAUUUUGUUUUAGAACCACAUCGGAUCGGGUUCCCUCUCUGGGCCGUGGUAAUGACAAUAUUAAGAGAGCUUGGGUUGCCUUGAAGUUUAGAGGGAAAAUUGAGUCAUGAAGCAUUUUGGU